rnacentral:rRNA from 1 species
UACAGAGGUCCCGAGCGUUGUUCGGAUUCAUUGGGCGUAAAGGGCGCGUAGGCGGCCACCGCAAGUCAGUUGUGAAAUCUCUGGGCUUAACCCAGAACGGUCAGCUGAUACUGCGGGGCUAGAGUGCAGAAGGGGCAACUGGGAAUUCUCGGUGGUAGCGGUGAAAUGCGUAGAUAUCGAGAGGAACACCUGCGGCGAAGGCGGGUGCUGGGCUGACACUGACGCUGACAGCGCGAAAGCUAGGGGAGCGAACGGG